GCACCGUGGUUUAGUGGUUAGCAUGUUCACCUCAUACCACCAGGGUUGGGGGUUCGAUUCCCACCGCUGGCC